UACGGGGGGAGCAAGCGUUGUUCGGAAUUACUGGGCGUAAAGGGCUCGUAGGCGGCCAACUAAGUCCGACGUGAAAUCCCAAGGCUUAACCUUGGAACUGCGUCGGAUACUGGAUGGCUUGAAUUCGGGAGAGGGAUGCAGAAUUCCAGGUGUAGCGGUGAAAUGCGUAGAUAUCAGGAAGAACACCCGUGGCGAAAGCGGCUCUCUGGAACGGUACUGACGCUGAGACGCGAAAGCGUGGGGAGCGAACAGG
rnacentral:rRNA from 1 species